GUAGGGGUGAGCUCACAAUACUGUCCAUGCCCAAAAGGGGCGUGGUCAGGAGUAUGGGACAGGUAGUAUACAAAAGAAAGGAAAGCAAAAGCUCUCUCUCUUGGAAGCUGGCCGCGUUUCCAGAGCGCCUAUCCCUCGGUUUAUCUCGCACGACAGAGAGUCAUCUUCAUCUCUGGCUCCAGAUCUCAUUAGAGACUUCUGCAGUUGGUGUCGGGUUAAAUGGAGGAGGACGCCUGUGGGGCUAGGGCUGUUUGCUUCUGGUCUGUCAUUGCCACCGGCCUGCUUGAUUGACAGACGUAAGAACACAGGUGUAACCGUGUGGCCCGUGAUCUAGUGUCCCAGAGGUAUGAUGUGGCAAAUGGCAGGCGACUAGAAGAGAAACAUCACAUUUUGAAGGGAGUCGUAUUAGCUGAAGAUGGUGAAUUUGUCUGCCUGAGUCCACGCCUCCUGAGACCCCCGAGGCCACAUGCAAUCAGGGAAGAAUUACCUGCAAAGGCCAGGAGAAGCAGCGGCUUCAGGGGGAGGUCCAGUGAUGCUCAAACCUUCUCUGAGGGAACAACAGUCACCAAGACCUGUCGUGAUGGUCUCUUGCAAGCUGGCACGGCUGAUCUGAUGGACGUGGUGGGUGUUUUGCUAGGAAGAUAGCAUUCUACAACACUCUGUCUCAACAUAAAAGAUGUUACAACAGCACACGCCCCACAACAUGAUCUUUGGCCUUGGCAGUGAAGAUGGAGGUGGCGUCUAGGAUGGCAGUGAGAAUAAAGAGGAAGACGCUUUGUCUAAGAUGACAUGGAUACAUGGGAGAUACCAGUUUCUUUCUCCUCUGUGGAGACUCCACUCGACUGCGCAGUGCUUGUGACUGGGCAUCUGUCACUCAUGACUCCACAGACGAAACAUCCCAGAGCCACCUGAAGACAUGCUUGUCAUUCAAACUCUCAAAAGGGUCACAGUUCUUAGUCUACUGCCUUAUUUUCCAGAAUGAGCUAGAAUUUCAUCACUCCCAUGCCUCCUGCUGGCUCCCAGCUUGGUAGUCACAUGACUUCAAGGCUAUUUUCCCAAUGAAGGGAAAACAAGAUUGGUUAUAGGCACAGUAAUGAUUUUGGACUAAGGGCCACAAGCAAGGCAAUUUCUCCCAUUUAUCCACUGGCUGUUUCUGUGGGUCUGAAUGAGAUGUGUGUCCCUCAGAACAGUACCUGCCAAUUUACUUUGCUGGCUUGUAAUCAAAAGUUCAUUGCUCUCGUCUCUCUCUCUUUCCUUCUUCUCUCUCUUUUUCUCCUCUCCUCUACACACACACACACACACACACACACACACACACACACACACACACACCCCACAUGCACAAAAGCACACCUCACACAAAUAUACUUAGACAUAGCUACACCCUUCUGUGCACAGUCAUACACACACACACACACAUCCCAUCUCAAUGCUAUCUUCUCCUCUGAAUCAUUGUUAUUCUGUUCUUACAAAUUAUUUAGAAAGAUCUGGAAUUGUUGGGCCAUAGAUUAGGAUCCCAUAUCCUUUGGCUGGUCUCCCCACUUCAUAUAUAAAAUACAAUUUAGAGCAGAAACCAAAUGCCCUCUGAAGGCUAUGCUGUUCCACAGUUUAAUACACAAACCAAGAUAGAUUAUAGACUUCUGUUUUCCACAUUGAUAAUUUUCACUCAGCACUCUCCUUGUCCAAUAAUAAUCUCUGAGCACAUG